rnacentral:rRNA from 1 species
GUGGGGAAUCUUGCGCAAUGGGCGAAAGCCUGACGCAGCCAUGCCGCGUGAAUGAUGAAGGUCUUAGGAUUGUAAAAUUCUUUCACCGGGGACGAUAAUGACGGUACCCGGAGAAGAAGCUCCGGCUAACUUCGUGCCAUCAGCCGCGGUAAUACGAAGGGGGCUAGCGUUGCUCGGAAUUACUGGGCGUAAAGGGCGCGUAGGCGGACAGCUUAGUCAGAGGUGAAAGCCCAGGGCUCAACCUUGGAAUUGCCUUUGAUACUGGAUGUCUUGAGUUUGGGAGAGGUGGGUGGAACUCCGAGUGUAGAGGUGAAAUUCGUAGAUAUUCGGAAGAACACCAGUGGCGAAGGCGACUCACUGGCCCAAUACUGACGCUGAGGCGCGAAAGCGUGGGGAGCAAACAGGAUUAGAAACCCCGGUAGUCC